UAUGGCCAUACCACAGUGAAACACUGGUUCCCCAUAUGAUCACCAAAGUUAAGCAAUGUCGUGACUAGUCAGUACUUCGAUGGGUCACCGCUUAGGAAUACCAGAUGCU